AGGUCGUAACAAGCUUUCCGUAGGUGAACCUGCGGAAGGAUCAUUAACACGUAUCCAAACGUUAAAACCUCCCCCGAACAUUCAUCCUGCUCUUGUAAGCGAAGCUUGCAAUCCCUGGUAUAUAAUAUGUAGUUUUGAUUCAGAGACAGCAGUCAGUGUCUGAAAGUGUCAUUGAUUGUGUAGGGAUAACGCUUCACGAUGCUUGUAGACCGCCUCGCGGACAAGAGCUAGGCCAAGGGUCCCCAUACCCCCCUACCCUUCACGAUGCUUGUAGACCACCUCGCGGGCAAGAGCUAGGCCAAAGGCCCCAUGCCCCCUUACCACAGUAUAAUGUGAAGCUCAAUGUAAUACAUUGGGUAAAAAAACCGAAGAACUGUGAGCAAUGGAUAUCUUGCUUUUC
rnacentral:misc_RNA from 1 species